rnacentral:rRNA from 1 species
UACGGAGGGUGCAAGCGUUAUCCGGAAUCACUGGGUUUAAAGGGUGCGUAGGCGGUUUUGUAAGUCAGUCGUGAAAUCUUGACGCUUAACGUUGAAAUUGCGAUUGAUACUGUGAGACUUGAAUCAGGUUGAGGCAGGCGGAAUGUGGCAUGUAGCGGUGAAAUGCAUAGAUAUGCCAUAGAACACCGAUUGCGAAGGCAGCUUGCUGGGCUUAGAUUGACGCUGAGGCACGAAAGCGUGGGGAGCAAACAGG